AAGUCGAGGGGCAGCAUGGUUUGUAGUAAUACAGAUUGAUGGCGACCGGCGCACGGGUGAGUAACGCGUAUGCAACCUGCCCUUCACAGGGGGAUAACCGGGAGAAAUUCCGACUAAUACCGCAUACGUCCUUUGGGGGCAUCCCCGGGGGAUGAAAGAGUUAUCGGUGAAGGAUGGGCAUGCGUGAUAUUAGGUAGUUGGCGGGGCAACGGCCCACCAAGCCUACGAUAUCUAGGGGUUCUGAGAGGAAGGUCCCCACAUUGGUACUGAGACACGGACCAAACUCC
rnacentral:rRNA from 2 species